AUGCUUUCUGCCACCUGUUCAAUUCUUGUGAUCUUAGUGUUCAGGGAAAGCACUGGAGACUCAGUGAACCAGACCACAGGCCCUGUCACUCUCUCAGAAGGUGAACCUCUCGUCCUGAACUGCACCUACCAGACUACUGACUUCUCUCCAUAUCUUUUCUGGUAUGUCCAGUAUGAACACAAAGGGCUUGAGCUCCUUCUGAAGAGCUCAUCCGAAAACCGGGAGACGCAGACUGGAUUUCGGGCUGAUCUUGAGAAGACCAGCAGCUCCUUCCACCUGCAGCAUCCCUCCGUGCAAAUAUCAGACUCAGCUGUGUACUACUGCGCUCUGAGAGACACAGUGAGGCGGGCUGAGGCGGCAGCUGAGCACUAA